rnacentral:rRNA from 1 species
GACGAACGCUGGCGGCGUGCUUAACACAUGCAAGUCGAACGGAAAGGCCCUGCUUUUGUGGGGUGCUCGAGUGGCGAACGGGUGAGUAACACGUGAGUAACCUGCCCUUGACUUUGGGAUAACUUCAGGAAACUGGGGCUAAUACCGGAUAGGAGCUCCUGCUGCAUGGUGGGGGUUGGAAAGUUUCGGCGGUUGGGGAUGGACUCGCGGCUUAUCAGCUUGUUGGUGGGGUAGUGGCUUACCAAGGCUUUGACGGGUAGCCGGCCUGGGAGGGUGACCGGCCACAUUGGGACUGAGAUACGGCGCAGACUCGUACGGGAGGCAGCAGUGGGGAAUAUUGCACAAUGGGCGGAAGCCUGAUGCAGCAACGCCGCGUGCGGGAUGACGUCCUUCGGGUUGUAAACCGCUUUCGCCUGUGACGAAGCGUGAGUGACGGUAAUGAGUAAAGAAGCACCGGCUAACUACGUG